UACGUAGGGGCAAGCGUUGUCCGGAUUUAUUGGGCGUAAAGAGCGUGUAGGCGGUCAGGUAGGUCCGUUGUGAAAACUCGAGGCUCAACCUCGAGACGCCGAUGGAAACCAUCUGACUAGAGUCCGGAAGAGGAGAGUGGAAUUCCUGGUGUAGCGGUGAAAUGCGCAGAUAUCAGGAAGAACACCCGUGGCUAAGGCGGCUCUCUAGUACGGUACUGACGCUGAGACGCGAAAGCGUGGGAGCGAACAGG
rnacentral:rRNA from 1 species